GAUGAACGCUGGCGGCGUGCCUAAUACAUGCAAGUCGAGCGAACAGACGAGGAGCUUGCUCCUCUGACGUUAGCGGCGGACGGGUGAGUAACACGUGGAUAACCUACCUAUAAGACUGGGAUAACUUCGGGAAACCGGAGCUAAUACCGGAUAAUAUAUUGAACCGCAUGGUUCAAUAGUGAAAGACGGUUUUGCUGUCACUUAUAGAUGGAUCCGCGCCGCAUUAGCUAGUUGGUAAGGUAACGGCUUACCAAGGCAACGAUGCGUAGCCGACCUGAGAGGGUGAUCGGCCACACUUGAACUGAGGCACGGUCCAGACGCCUCGGGAGCCAGCAGUAGGGAAUCUUCCGCAAUGGGCGAAAGCCUGACGGAGCAACGCCGCAUGGGUGAUGAAGGUAUUCGGAUCGUAAAACUCUGUUAUUAGGGAAGAACAAAUGUGUAAGUAACGAUGCACGGCUUGACGGUACCUAAUCAGAAAGGCACGGCUAACUACGUG
rnacentral:rRNA from 1 species